rnacentral:rRNA from 1 species
AACGCUGGCGGCAGGCCUAAUACAUGCAAGUCGAGCGCACCUUCGGGUGAGCGGCGGACGGGUGAGUAACGCGUGGGAAUAUGCCCUUUGGUACGGAACAACUGAGGGAAACUUCAGCUAAUACCGUAUGUGCCCUUCGGGGGAAAGAUUUAUCGCCAUUGGAGUAGCCCGCGUUGGAUUAGGUAGUUGGUGGGGUAAAGGCCCACCAAGCCGACGAUCCAUAGCUGGUCUGAGAGGAUGAUCAGCCACACUGGGACUGAGACACGGCCCAGACUCCUACGGGAGGCAGCAGUAGGGAAUCUUGCGCAAUGGGCGAAAGCCUGACGCAGCCAUGCCGCGUGAAUGAUGAAGGUCUUAGGAUUGUAAAAUUCUUUCACCGGGGAAGAUAAUGACGGUACCCGGAGAAGAAGCCCCGGCUAACUUCGUGCCAGCAGCCGCGGUAAUACGAAGGGGGCUAGCGUUGCUCGGAAUUACUGGGCGUAAAGGGCGCGUAGGCGGACAGUU